rnacentral:rRNA from 1 species
GACGAACGCUGGCGGCGUGCUUAACACAUGCAAGUCGAGCGGUAAGGCCCUUCGGGUACACGAGCGGCGAACGGGUGAGUAACACGUGGGUGACCUGCCUCUAGCUCUGGGAUAAGCCUGGGAAACUGGGUCUAAUACCGGAUAUGACUCCACGGCGCAUGUUGUGGGGUGGAAAGCCUUGUGUGGCUAGAGAUGGGCCCGCGGCCUAUCAGCUUGUUGGUGGGGUGAUGGCCUACCAAGGCGACGACGGGUAGCCGGCCUGAGAGGGCGACCGGCCACACUGGGACUGAGACACGGCCCAGACUCCUACGGGAGGCAGCAGUGGGGAAUCUUGCGCAAUGGGCGAAAGCCUGACGCAGCGACGCCGCGUGA